UACGUAGGGUGCAGGCGUUAAUCGGAAUUACUGGGCGUAAAGCGUGCGCAGGCGGUUCUGAAAGUCAGCUGUGAAAGCCCCGGGCUUAACCUGGGAACGGCGGUUGAAACUACAGGACUAGAAUCUGGCAGAGGGGGGGUGGAAUUCCACGGUGUAGCAGUGAAAUGCGUAGAGAUGUGGAGGAACACCGAUGGCGAAGGCAGCCCCCCUGGGCUAACACUGACGCCUCAUGCACGAAAGCGUGGGGAGCAAACAG
rnacentral:rRNA from 1 species